UCUUACUCUUCAUAGCGGAUUACACUUCAGGUUUGUCUAAUUCUUCAUUCGUUUUUUCCUUCAGUUCAUCUGAAGAACUUUAUUCUUUAUCCAAAAUUCAGGUUUGCCCAAUUCAAGGCUUAGUAAUAAAAUGAUAAAUAUAGAAAUAUUCAUAUGUAGCCGCUUCUUCUUGCUUUCUUUGUUCAAUUAUCAUAGUUUCUUGAUUUGAGAUUUAGUAAAGUGAAAAUCUAAAAUGGAGAUAAAGUUUAUUUUUUGUUUAUGAAAUAUCAAAAUUAGAGUACAUCCUUUACCUGAAUGGAN
rnacentral:lncRNA from 1 species